UUUUUAAAUUUAAGUAAUCUCUACACGCCAUGUAGGGCUUGAACUCACACCCCGAGAUCAAAAGUCAUAUGCUGUUCUGACCGAGCCAGCCAGACACCCCUCGGUAAUGCUUUUAAAUCAGUUUGUCUUUAUUAGCAACACCAUAAUCUAUAUCCAGUUGAAAUAUAGUAUAUAAAUAUUUGUAAGCUAGUAUUAUUUAUUCAGACUGAAGGUAAUGCUGAAGUAGAUUCCUUGUAAUAAGUCCGUGGCCUCACAGAGGUUCACAUUCCAUGCAUGGGUUGUGAAUCACUCCUAUAGAUUGAGGUUAAGAUGUGUGUUCAGAAAACGACCUAUUCAUGGAUGGAAAUUUGUAGGCUUAUUUGAAAUCAGUGGUAUCAAUAAUUUUUGAAGGCAAGAUAGAAGUAUUUCACAUUUCCAUUUUAACCAAAUCUUUAGAUAAGCAGAAUAAACAAAACAAAUUCUUUAGAAAUGAGACUUCUAACUUACUGUUGCUUUACUUAUUCUGCUUAGUUCAAGUCAGAGCUAAUAGUCUAACGUUCUUGAAUGUCUUGACAAGCUUUUGCAGCAAUCAUGUAUCCUUUUGCAGAUAUUUAUGUGUGACCUAUAUUAGUAUAGCAAAAUGGGUGAAACUUUUUCCAUAGCUUCUUUGUGAAAUUUCCAGUGAUUGUGUAAUAUUGAGAAAUUUCAGAAGAUUCUUUGAAUAGUAAAAAGCAAAAGAUGUCAUCCAUGUGAGCUUAAAAUUUAGAAACACAGAACAUACAUAAAACCGGUAGAGAAAGAUUAAAGUGAACAUAAUAUAAUGGAGAAAGCUUUGGAGACUUUGCAGUCCGUAUUCAAAUGGCUUUAGGUUUAAAAUCCAGAAUCUCAUUUGAACCUCAGAGCGAUCCUGUGGAAACAGAAGAUAGCGUAGGCAAGAUCCCAUUUACAGAUAAGUAAACAAAUAGCAUAUCAAAAUUUCAUUGGCCCAAGGACCCAGACAGAGCUGGUACAUUGCAAAGCCAGAGUUUGAAUCCAGAUGUUUUGACUCCAUGCCUCCUCUUUUUACCUCCAUAAGCCACAAAAUCCAAAAUCCUUACUUAGUUUGAGGGUCAAGCCAUCACUAAUAAGGGUCUAACCCAUCUUUUUCAGCCUUUUCUCUCCCUCUUCCCACAAACCGUAGCUCCCACAUUUGGCAGGUCCUGGCCAAGGAUCACAGGACAAGAGGCCAUCUGUCCAGAGAGAAAGACAAGAGGAUUUGUGACUUUAGGAGAAAAGAGAAGGCUGCAAAUAUUGCUUUGGGCAUUUAUUUAAAAGGAAAGAGAUGUGACCAAAGAGAUGGACAAAAACAUGGUUGAAGCUGGGCACUUAUGCUCCGUGUUGCGGCUUGGCGCACAGCUGUUUCUUCCUUCAGCUGCGCUGGGUGGAGGGGGGGCUUCUGCCCAAUGCCAGGGUCUCUUCAUUUCCUUGGUUUCGUGCUGAGUCAGUCACUGGCUCUGGCUUUCUUCUCCUACCUAUCUUUGCCUGUUUCUUCUCUCUUCUUUCUAGUGUCAAAUAAAAAUCUCUUCCAAAAAA